AAGUUGUUAGAUUUUGUUUAAAUUAAUAAACUUGUUAAAUGUAAUGUAGAGAUUGGCGAGAAAAAAAAAAUAGUUCAGUGAUAUUUAUGGGAAAAAAAAUAGUGUAAGGUAGAAAAAAAGGCUAAAUUAUAGAAGACCCUUUUAUAAGUAUUCGUUUUUUCACUUUCCCUCCCUAACUUUCAAAAACCUAUAUUUUACUCUCUCAACAUUUCAACUUGUUGCAUUUAGCCCCCCUUUGUCAGGGUUCCAUCAUUAUUCCGUACAUUUCUUAUAAUUUAUACCGAAAAUGCCCUUCAAAAUGACAGAGAUUAUUAAAAAAAUAUUUUUUUAAUAUAUAACAAUUAAGGACAAUUUGGUUAUUUCAUCCUCUCCAUUAACGCCGUACCCCCUUGAAAAUAUUUCUGAAAUUUAAGGGGGUAAAAUGUAGGUUUCUGAAAGUCGGGGAAGGAAAGUGAAAAAGCAGGUAUUUACAAUGAAAUUUUCUAUAUUUUAACCAAUAAAAAUCUAAAAUACAGUGUAGAGAUUGAUAAUAUAUAAUAUUACAAUCAUGUCUUUGAAAAAAAAAUUGUAUAAUGUUGCAAAUGAAAUAACACUAAAGUACAGUGUAGUAAGGUGUAAUUAAGCCACCAAUUUAUUACCAAGGCACAUCAAGCAGAGCUAAACUUCAGUAUCAAUGGAACAACAAUUGGUAAUCAUGAUUAUUGCAUAUCCUUCUCUGUGAUUAUAUUACUAACGAUGAAAGUUGGGGAUCAGAUUGUGAUUCAAGUACCUGAUAGAAUGCCAAACACUGUAGCACAAAUUUAUCCACAGAAUCAAGUUCCAGAUCGAGGACAGAAUCAUAGUCCCUGGCCUAAAUUAAAAGCGGAAAGAAGUACUAAUAAAGUGAAAAAACUAUCAUUGAAAUUUUCAAAGGAAAAAAGAACUACAAUUUCAAAGUGAAAAAUAUGAACCACAGCCAGUCUGAAGAUUGUCCACAAAUGAAAAUGAACAUCCAAAUAAAAAAUGAACUAUUGAAAAUUUAAACAAGCUCGGAUAUAGUUAAAUUAUUGAAAACAAUAACAAGCACCCUGUCAUAGGAAAUGCUAGGAAAUCUGAAACCCAAAUUGUGAAACAAAGUCAAAUGAAAAACUAGGUUUAUAAUGAAUAGAAGCUUACUACCUCUUGUAUUUAUUAAACUCUCAUUAGAAAAGAGCUUUUACAGGCAUAUAGAAGGUUGCGAGCUUGGAGAGAUGAUAGAGGAGAUAGUUAUGGUUAAGUGCGAUAAAUAUGGGGGGAAAAGAAGAUAAAUACCGCAGCUUUGAAAUCUCCAAUAGCAUGAUAGCAUGAGGCACGUAAAUAUAAGCAUUCAAUAUUUGAACUUUCAAAACUCAACCCAAGAGAUAAAUCUUUAAUGGCCAUCCUGCAAUAUUGAAAUACAAUAAAGGAGUAUAUCUGAGUAAUAAAGAAAAAUGGUUUAACAGAAGAAUAUUGAAAGGACAACAUUAUCAGACUGCUAUACUGAGCAAUUGUGCAUGUGAAACCAGCUUGUAAUCUGGUUAAGUGUCAUGUAAGAACUAAUUCAAGCUUCUAUCAACACAUACUUCCUCAGCAGCAAUAAAUUCUAAGUGCUUUAGAUCCUAGUUUAUCUGCUAUUGAAUUAUGCAUAAAACAUAUGGCUGAUUAUCUAAAAGCACAACAGCUGAAUCUAGUUGAGAUAAAAUGUACUGAAAAUUACAAUCAAAGUAAUACUCAAAGUAAUAAUUUUCCAACACUAAAUUGUUUGUGUUUGUAUGCAUAUGCCAUUGCACUAUUUUAACUUGUCUUAUGAAAAGGACACUAAGCUGAGUAGGCAUCAUAUAUCAAACAACAUGAUUGAACUGUAUCACGUAUUGCAUCCAGAAGGCAAUACAUCAUACAGAGCUCAUAACUUUUAAGGACAUACUUUUAGUUCUCAUUGUAUGGUGCCGUCAACUUUGGGUGCUUACAAUGCCAUUUUCUCUAGACUGUGUAUGUGGGUGAGGUGAAUCUCACUUUGAAGUUCAGGACUUUGUGCUCUGGAGCAGUCUUAUGUGUUCCCACUCUAACAAAUUGCCUCAUGCCUUAAAUAUGUAAUUAGCUAUAUGUUAUGUGACCACAGGAGAAUAACAAGAAAAAUAAGAACAUAAAUUUCACCUGUGCAGCCCCAUUCCAUGGUAGAGUAGUCCACGCAAGUGAUAUGCUUUAGCAUAGCUACAACAUUUAGCAAAAGUUUAAGAGCAAAAACAGAAUAUAAGGUGACAGAAAUUAUGGUGCAAUUGAAAGAAAUGUUAAAAAUGUCAGGAGAACCCCCCAACUAUGGUGGAUAUAGAAAUAGAUUGUCAAGUUCCCAACUUCAUUUUUUAAACGGUAAACUUCACGCAGCACGUGUGAUUUAGACUAGAACAUUUGCACUUUGCAACCUUGUGGUUUGCAAUGUUAUACUUUGCUAUCCUACGGUUUUUAUUUCACCGUAAGGACCUGCUACUAAAUAGGGUGGUAAUGUGCUACAUUUUCAACCACAAGGUAGAAAAUUGCCAAACUACAGGGUGGUAAAGUUAUACUUUAAUUUCAAUAAUUUCCAUUAAUUGGAUUGAGAUUUCAAUAAAUUUACAGCUUAGCCCCUUGUUUUAGCUAACAAAUUGAGGAUGUGGUUAACAAUUAAUAGCUAACCAAUUGAGCCGUUAAUUUUAUUGGAAUCCCCAGUUUCGAUAGAUAAUUCACAAUGAAAAAGAGCGAAAAAAAAAAAAGAGGGGUGCCAAUGAUCAGUCAAAAAGAGUAGGGGUAAAUAUUUUAAAGGUGAAAACAUAUGGAACUAACCUGACUAUGGAGCGUUUGGAUUUGGCUACUUAACUUUUCAAAAUUAUGAUUUUACUACCUAACCUUUCAAUUUGUUUGAUUUGAGUUAGCCAACAAUACUUUCACUUUAAAAUUUGAAUGCGUUAUUUAUCUUUACAAAUUUAGUUAGUAUAUUUCAUAUAAUUCUCACAACUAUAUAUUCAUUAAAGUAAGUAAUUAGCUUAAAUUUUAGAGUCAAAGUGUUGACUGACUCAAAUCAAACAAAUUGAAGAGUUGGGUAGUAAAGUCAAAAUUUUGAAAGAUUGGAUAGCCAAAUCCAAAUGCUCCAUAGUUCAAGUAAGUCCCAUACAUUUUUACCUAUUUUAAAAUGACCAAUACUUCAGGGGCUCACCAUGCCCUUUUAUGUAUAAUAAUUGGUAAAUUUACCUUUUAUCAACAAGCAAUACUUUUUCAAGGCAAUGCAAGGCCUUCUCCUGAUUCGCUAGAUCUUGGUAAUACUACAAAAUAAGGCAUAUAUGUAAUUAACGAGCACGAGUAUACACGGAAGAAAAAAAAAGGACUUAUUCCAAAGGUAUGAAAUUCAUAACUAUUGGAAAUGACAUGGUUCUACAACAAAGAUAUAAAAAUGUUCCGCAGAACAUAGUAUUUAACUUGCAACAAACAAGCUCAACUCCAAAGAGGAAUUGAAGAACUUGCCUGUGCAAACAAUGGCUCUCGUAAUUAGCAAAGAGGUGAAAAAAAUCUACAUGAUCAGAUAUCCAAAUCAAACAUUUGCAUCAGCAUGAUGUUCCCCAUAUCAAAGUAAUGAAUCCAUAAAAUCAAGUGCCUAUAGAUUUAAAGUUUAAUUGAAGAAAAGUCUUGUGAUUGGAAAUCAUGAACAAUUAAUAUAAGAAUCACUUGACAGUGUAAUGUGAAAAGUCUCACAUUUGAUCAAUUACAUUUUCAAGUCUAACUUGCAGAGUUGCAGCCAGUAUUCAUAACUUUAUACAAUGAAAGAUCGGCUACACAGAAUACAAUCAAGAGAUCAGUGGAUUGACAUACCAAAAAAUUAAGAGGAUAAAAUGGAACUUCAUUCUCACUAUUUAUUUUUCACGAGACUGCAGAUUUCAGGGAAUAUAAAGCUUACAAAGAAUAAAUCCAGAAAUAAUAGUAAACAACUAAAAAAUAUUAAGAAUAAGCUUCAAUCCAAAAAAAGGAAAGAAACAUUUAAAUAAAAGUCUACUAAGAGGCUGUGAAACAGCUACCUGGGCAAGAUGGGCCCAUCCCUCAAGAAAAUUUUCAUCAAGUUGUAUUGCUUUAAGAUGUGCCUCUUCAGCUCUUUGAUACUCACCAAUUGCUGAUAAAGCCAGACCCUACAGAGACCAUACGCAAAUUUAAGAUAAAAAGUCUAAACCAACGAUAAUUUAACCAUGUACAACAAAGUGUACCUUAAAAUAAAUACAUAUGGAACGUCAGAGACAAAAUACAACAUCACAUAAUAUUAAUAGUAAGACGGGAAAAAGGACAAAAGUUGAAAGUUCUCAUAAUCUUUGCACACCAAUAAAACAGAAACAAGUACAAAAUUAUUAUUAAUAGUAUCACAGUGAGAGCAUUGCAUGGCAUCAAACUCUAUUUGACAAGAAAAAGCAUGCAAAAAGAGAACCGAGAAAACAACAAUAUAAAUAUAUGAUAUGUUCAGAAAGUAAACUCCAGAAAUGCAAGUUAGAAACCAGAAUAGCUGUAUUAAUUAAUUCUCUAAAUGUGUAGAGGUCUGCAUCAAAGAUUAAAGGAUUUCCAUUACGAGAAAAGAGCAUGAAUUUUGUCAAGGAACAAGAUGAACCGAUUAAGGCCAUAUUGGUGGACAUUAUUGACCAUAUUGCCCUUGAAAGGAAAGAGUAGUAUAGAAAAUUUUGAACCACAAAACCAAGGCAGCAUGCCUAGGGUUAAAGAUAAGACUUGACUCUUGAUUAUAUCUGCUACAAUCAUACAAUAAGAAAAAUUAUUUGCCAGAAAAAAUAUUAAUCUUGAAUUACCAAAUAUGUGUAAGCAGAGCUGUUUUUCCUAUCGUGAUUAACACAUGCAGAAAGGUCUUCUACGGCUGCAUUGUAGUCCUUGAAUUUAAAAUUAACAAUGCCUGAAAAAUUAGAUUAGAUUAUCAAAACAUCAACUAUUUCUCAAAAUAAGAGUAGAUGUUCUACAGUGCCAUGUGAAACAGUCAACUUCCAAAAAGUAUAUAAUGUUAGCUUUCCCUGCAGUAGCUAAGCUUACUAACCUUAAAUAAAAGAUAAGAAAAAAUCAUAGCAAAAACACAAUAGAACAACCGAAUGAUGCAGCUGAUAGUCCUAAGUCGUGAGUAGCAUCUCAUCCAACGUUACUCAUGAUUUGAGUUUCAGCAGAAAACAUGAGCCCGUUAGUAAGGGGAUGGGAAAUUCAGCACUUAUCUUCCAUGAAAUAUUAAGGUUGAACUUCAACAUGCAGGAAACUAGAAAUUGUCAUCACAAAAUGUGACAAACAGACAGACACGUAUGUAUGCACUCACACAUGUAGCAGAGUUAAAAAGGGGGAGGGAGUGGGUGGGCAAGAUAAACCAGACUAAUUUCUAUUUCCAUGCUAUGAAGGAUGGAUCUAAAAUGAGAAACAUCAUUUACCGGGGCAUGAAACCAAUGGAACAAUGAUGCUAUUAUCUGGGCAAAAAGUUUGUUGCACUAACCCCUUUCAUGUAGAAUAUCACAACAACUUGGCUCAAAUUCCAAUGCCUUAGACAAGUCUUCAAUGGCCUGAAACUCAAAAUCAUAACUAAAACUUCAUAUAUAGGACGAUAAUAGAAGUCAGAUAAUAAGAGUCAGUCCAUGCUGAAAUAAACAGGGAUAAGAGUCAAGAAAUAGCUGCUUCUGAAGCACACGAUAAAAUAUAAGGAUCCACAGCAACCAUAGAAAUAUACCACUGCUGUUUUAAAUAAAGCAACCCAAGAUAGUUACACCACAAUUUACUCUUUAUAUAAAAAAAGAAUACCUUAAGAAUUAAGAAUCUAAUAUUUUGACCAAGUAAAAGAUAGACAUUAUCAACAGCCAUGGAAUUAGCAUGAUUCACAGUGUGAUAGAAAAUGUAAGAACUAGACAAUUCCAAAAUCACCAAGAGAAAGUAAUAUGAGGCUAGUUGUUUAUAUCUUAGUAGUUGUGAACAUCCUGGAAUGUUCACAAAGAUUAAUAUGAAGAAAGUUCAAUUCGGAAAGGAUGGAAUGGCCUUGCCUCCAUGAAUUCUCCAAUUGCAGCUCGUGCUUGUCCCCGCCGCUUCCAUGCUUCUCCAGCAGAUGGAUUGUAUUGUAUAGCCUAGAAAAGCACUUUUAGAAAGAAAACUGUGGAAGCCCCUUUUUUUUAACAUGGACUAUACUACCUUAGUAAAGUCGGCAAUAGCAGCGUCAAGUUCUCUUUGAAAUGCAUAAGCUGUACCUCUUCCUAUCAGAGCCUCAGGAUAUUUAGGAGUUUCUCUCAGUAUCUGUCCAUGUCAAUUAGAACAUUUAGAUGAAGUUAUUUAUCAGAUAACAAUUGUCACUAACUAAACAACCAAUCGAAGGUAUGAACCUGGUCAAAUAUGGAUAUUGCCUGGUCAUAAUUUCCUUCAUUUACCUGUUAAAGAAACGAUUAAUCUAAGUAACAUUGGCGAGAUGCAAACUAUAAAAAGUUACAUUAAGAAGACAAGCAUCUAAGCAAAAGUAGGUUUUUCAAUAAUUGUAAUGAAAGUUCAGAACAAUCUGUUAGCUACAAAGAUUAACCUACCAUUAAAAGCUCUUUACCAUGCCAAUUAAUUAUUCAUUAUUUCUUACACUUGCACAACUUAAGCAAAUUAUAAUAAAACAUAGAUUAAUGUUCACUUGUCAGAAAAAGGGGGUUCACAGGUUACCCAUGAACAUGCAGAAAGUGGCAAUGAAAAAAAUUCAUUUUAAUAAGACUAAAGCAUAGGAGUAUACCUGGCCUAUGCCACGAGAUAAUCGGAAAUCCAAGCUUAUUGACUUGCUCUUUGAGAUAUUUGUAACAAAUAGCUUAUGGUCUGGUUUUAUGGUUUCAUUGCACCUUCUGAUUAUCUCCUGGCUAUUACUAGGUUGACUGGUUAUUUCAUACAUAUCCUCUGAUCCUGAAGUAUUGUCAAUUUCAGACCCGGAAUCACUGUUCAUCAUUACUUUACUAGAUGAAUCUACAACUUGUUCUUCACAGACAACAGUUUUCAUAUCAGCCGUUGGAAUAGUGUCAGAAUGCACAACAGAGACUUCAGAUACGACAACUUUUGUAUCGCAUGGUGAUGUAUCCAAGGCAUGGUCUUGACAAACAACAGGUUUAGAUUGUUUAACACUAGCCAGAAGGUCUUCCAACUCCAGCAAUAGCUUCAGAUCUUUUGAAUCUCGAAGCGCAUGCUCAUAACCCUGCUCCCAAACAAGCGAAGCGUCCUCUUUUCUUCCCAAAGCCAAUAAAGCAUUACCUAGCAACAAGAUUUGGCAGGAUAAAUAGUGUAAUUUGAUUGAAUAAGUGCAAAAGGUAAUACUCACUGGCAUACAAAGUAUUAAAAGAACGUAGUAAGAGUUAAGCUUGUUCUGAAUUUAUUCCCAGAACCUUUUUGUGACAUCUUGCAUGUAAAAUCGCAAAUCAUACACUGCUCAAUCAUAAACUACAAAUUGUGCCAAAGGAACUGUAGGCACUGAUCUGAACUAUUGAUUUUUACGACACAUCCCAUAAUAUCUAUAUUAAGACCAAAAAACUUCACGGGCACAACAACAUUGUACAGGAAUUUUCAGACCCGCCUAAGAAUAUAGUAACUGAAUUAUCCAGUUUUCAGCUACCAUUUCUAUAGAUGCACAUCCAGAGGAGUUAAUAGUCAUAAAUAGCUGCUUAAAGAUGUUUGCAGAUCCAAAUCUUAACAAAGCUUCCAAAUAAUGCUCGAUUCAUUUUAGUUUGCUGUUCUAACAAUCAAGCAUCAGCAAACAAAUGCGUCAACUCCCCUAAGGGUCACCAUCUGAGGUUACAGAAAAAAAUUAAAGCAAGGAAUCAAUCAGAAAAGCCACUUACCUUAAGAAAAUAGAAUCCCAAUCUAAAAACCCAGUAUCAAUUAGUUCAAAAACACUACAACUUAGCGAGACCUAGUUAUGCGCGAUCGAACUAACCUUUAAGGAUGUAAGCUUGAAGAAGAGUGGGAUCGAGCUGCAACGCCUUGUCGCAAUCCUUGAUCACGUGCUUGUGGAGCUCCAAUUUGCUGUAGCAGAACGCCCGAUUACUGCAAUCACCACAGAAACUAUAAGAACUCGGAUCCAGCCCCAAAAUGACGAUAAUCUUAACCGAGAAACAAAGGAGAAGACGCCAAAAUCCAACGAAAACACGCGAUUCAGCAUGGCACCGGGAGAGAUUUAGAGAAGGGAUCAAAGAGAUCGGUUCAAAACCAGAUAUCUUGGAUGGAGCAGGAUUGGGCGAGGAGGGCAUCGAGGACGCGGAUGGCCUUGGACCAGUUGCGGGAGCCGCAGAUCUUGGCGAGCUCCGCGCGAUCGGGCGACGCCGCCAUGGUCGUUCGAUCCCUCUCCCCCCCGAUGCGAAGAGGAGAGGGUGCGUGCCCUAGCUCACCCACAGCGACGCCUCUCGCCGAGGAGAGACGAGUGAGAUCGCGGGGGACACGGAGGAAGAAGAAGCCGAAGAAUAACGAGAACGGAGGAAAUGAGAGGUAGAGGGAAGGAUUUGGGGCUUUUUAUGUUUUAUUUAUUUUAUUUUUAUUUUGUUUUUAGUCCUCCUACUAAAUUAAUGUCUUUCUUUUUUAUUACUUUUCCGUUUUCCUAUUUGGGCUAUUGUCCUACUCCCAUUUUGUAAUUAUACGCUCUCCCAGCGUGGAUUUGGUUCGGAUGGUUUGUUGCACUUUAUUAUAGCAUUAUUAUAUUAUGGUUCUAUUAAUUUUUUAUCUAUCUCAUAUUCUAAUUUUAAUAAGUUUGAUUUUUUGUAAAAUACAAAAGUUUAGUAAUAAUAAUAUGAGUAAAUUAUAAGAUAAAAAAGAUUAUUAGAUUUACGAUAUAUUUUUUAAAAAUAAAAAUAAUAUACUAUCUGUUUUAUUUAUUCAGAAAAUAAACUGAACUACAAAUAACAAAUAUAAGAUUAUUAGCUCUCAAAAACAAAUAAAAAGAGAAAAAAAUAAAAAAUAAAAAAAUCAAUAAUUCUCAAAAUAGUGGAAAAAAAAUUACAAUAAUUUUAGUACAAGCAGUUCAUUUUGAUAUUAUUCAAUAUUUAUUUCAUAACUUUACAAUAUAUCUAAUGUAUUUUGCUAUACAAAUAUGCAAGAUUGAAGCGUUAUCUUUUUAUUCUUUAUAAUAAAUACAAUAAUUAAUAUACAAUUUAUAUUAAUUUAAACUUUUGUGCACCAAUCGCCUAAUUGUCAAAUGAUCUGUAUAAUAAUAAUCCCAGCCUCAAGUUUAGUGCUGUUGACGUGGGGUCAAAUAGCGUGAUGGUAGAUAAGAAGGGAGUGAGAAUAAAAAUUUAAUCCAUUCGCUCUUCUAUACUACAUACAGCCAGGCUCCGUUAUGUACGGACGCGCCCAGAAGAAUUCAUAUGCGAAGUGUUGCGAACCGUCGGAUCUCCUUAGAAGAAGCCAUCUGAACCGUUCAUUUGGCCAUCCCCCUGGGAAGGAUGAGGCGGUUGAGGUUAGGAUACACAAAACCUUACUAAACCACUUGAUUAGCGGAAAACACCGCCACUUUCAUUAGUGUGGGUAAUGAAAUGUGUGGAAUCUUUUUUAUUUAACGAAGAUACAAAAUAAUUUAUCCAAUCAAAAAAUGAUGUAUAUUGUAUAAUAUCAGUAUAAAGUGUUUAUGUAGACUACAGAGAUAGUUUGUAGAUAGUUUUAUUCCUGAGGUGCGAAUGUUGGAUUCGAUCACUCUUUAAUAAGGGAAAAAGGAUUUUUUUUUUUUUUAAAAAAAGGGAAAAGCGUUGGCGUUGCGUUUGGGCUUUAUUUUUGUCGGUCGGAUGGAAUGUCUAAACCGCAAGGAAGCGGCCACGCAGUUUCGCCACUUUAUUAGUCAAGUCUCAGACAAAAGAAUCCCAGAAGCGUUCACGGAUUUAAAUCGAGUCGCGACAAUAUCCCAACUUAAAGAGUAAGUUACCGACUGUCCCUAAAGUAAGUGACAAAAAACUCGAUAAUUGGUACUUGAGAUUUCAAAUUCGAAUCCUAGUUGGUUCACAUUUUCAGUUAAGUUUAUUUCUAAAUGAAAUAAACGAAACGGAUAGCGUACUAUCUAUCUCUCUCUCUCAAAAAAAAAAAAAAAAAAAAAAAAAGAAGUUAGUAAGUUGAAUCUUAUUUUGCAGGUUCUGAAAAAAUAAACCAAGAUUUGAGACAAGCGAUCCACUUUAAAGACGCUGAUCGCUGAUUCAUCCCACAGAAAAUGAUAGCAGCGCCAAGAAAAAGAACACCAAAUCAUUAAACUUGUUCUGAAUUAAACUCUGCACCACCUGAUGAAACAGAUUUGAGUCCCGGAAGUGCUGAUGUUACUGAGAAUAAACUAUAUAUUUAUAGAAGAAUCAAAUCAAAAGUGUUCAAACAAGAAUAUGUGAAGUUGCCUAUCAGUAACAAAUAUAGUCAAAAACUAUGAGAAAAGGGGGGGAAUUUGAAAGACGAGCUCUCAGGAAUUCCCAUUAUAUACACCAUCUCUUAAGUCUUUAUUGCAUCUUGCAUCCGCUUACAAUCCUUUCGACUGGUCGGCCGUAAUCCGUCUCCCAUACAACCCUCCUCAUCCAUUCUACUUAUGUACUCAUCCCUGUAUAUAGAAGUUUCGUUUCACGAAAAGCCAACUCAGGUUAUAUUUUACAAUUUCAACCCCAACCAGCAUCCAUUCUGACAUUGGGCCGAAGAGGGUCCUCUGAUUCGUCCGAAUUGAAGGAAAAGAUAUCAACAGGCGCACUCGUGCAGUCAUAAGCACGAUUCAUUCGGGACUGGCCAAUUUGGUUACGAUGAUCCAAAUAGAUCACCACCACAGUAAUAUCAUCAUGGAAGUGCCGCCUUAUUCCUUUACCUAUCUUCUUUAUAUCAUUGUAUCUCAUCUCCCUUUUCCUCGCAGCCUCGUUAAGCGCCGCUCUUACUAAUCUCUUUGCUAUUCCCUGCACAAUAUCCCCACAUUUAAACGGUGGUCCGAUGCACAUAAAUAAGUGCCGGAUUGAACUGGCUUCUACAUGAACUUCUCUGCUCUAGAAAGCAAAGGCAUUGGAAUCAAACAUUUGAUUAACAAAGACAUGAGCUUUUGUUCCGGCAAAAAGCCAAAAUAAGAUUUUGGAGACUUAAAUGAAAAGAGCUACUAAUGCUUCUUCGCACAGCUCAACUUCAAUAGAACUUCUAUAGAAGGCCAAUCCCGGACGAACAAGCCCAAACAGAUAACUUCAAAACAAGAGUAAGAGAAAGGAGCUUACCGCUCUAGGGUUCUUGAAGACUAUAUCAACGGCGGCUUCAUCGCUUAGUUGUUCCCAUAGUCCAUCCGAUGCGAAAAUGAGAAACAGGUCAUGUUGUUUAAGUUUACGAAUUUGUAUUGAGGGUUCUGCAGUCAUGACAGGCCGUUUCAGAGGAAGCGGAGAAACAAACUGCUGAAAUAGAGGGUCCCUACUGAAUUCUGGUUUCUUUAAAUAGAUGUCUCCAAUGGAUCUUGAGACCUAUCAAGGAAAGAAUUUUGCUCAUAUUCAUGUUGAGAGUAUUAAAUUAUUGCAAUGGAAAUUUUAUUGGUGCAAGUAAAUUUUGAGGUGGUGGCUCUACUAAGUUUCUACAGAAGAUCCAACAAAAUUAAUAUGAAAGAGAGAUUACGAGGUAUCACGCAAAACAUACAAUACGUGCUCAACAGCUUGAGUACAACCAUCAUACGUCAAGUAUUUGGAAACAACAGAUUAAUCCUAAAAAGGACUAAUAUCUUAAGAAUAUGGGAGGUUGCAAGACAGGCAAGCCUUUAAAAACAACUCUCCGUUAGUUUUUGCUCUUCUCUUAACCCCAUUGGUGGUUUUCUAUACCUAGAAUUGGAACUAGUCAACAAGCCUAUUUCUCUCAUAUGCAGGUAAUCUGAAUUCUACAAUAAGAAAGUGGAAGUUCUAUCGAGUAAAAGUAGAAAGUGGAAAGUUUUGUUGGGCAAAAGCAUGUUAUAUGUAAGCUAAGAACCAAAUGAGACCUGUUUUCUACAACACCUCUAUCAAUCAUUAAGUAUGAAUGGCCCUACAGUUUGCAACAGACUAAUAACAUUUACAUAUACACUACAUCAAAAUUAUAGCACAAGUUGUCCAACCUCCUUUCCUUUUAAAGAAUAUUAUCCUAAAAGAACAUAUUGAAAACCACAAUUGCUUUCCAAAAGAAUAAUAGCAGUUAGUACAAUUAUUUCGAAGAGAAUAAUUAGAUGCAUGCAUGCAUCUGAUAACAGCACAAAACAGCUAUAGAGUUGUGGGAAUUUCAUCCUAGAAAAGAGCAUUACUUUCUUCAACAACGAAAGUCAAGGCAUCUUGACAGAAAACAAAUAAUUGCCAUAAGAAUAAAAAUGCUAGUUGAAACAUUAUCAUCGUAAUCACACUGGGCAUCACAAAUUAUUAGCUCAAAAAGAUAUAGCUAGAACCUAUUGAUGAGAGGAGAAAAUUUCUAAGUAUGUGAAUGAUGAGCCACCUAUUUUUCAGUUUUUAUUUGCAAGCACCAAUCUAGCAGUUGCAAGCAUAAAGCUUACUAAGCAUCCUCCAAACUUUACAUGCCAGAUAAAGUAUAUCGGCAUACCAAUAACGCUACAAAACAACCAAAAUAUGGCUUUGAAAUUGAGUAAUUUGUUUUACCAACUGAAGACGGGCAAAAAGGAGAAGGAUGAAGAAAGCCCACACUAUGAUGCAUUACUCGCACUUAGUUUUAAUUAUUAUGGUUCUAAGCAGAUAACAAAGUUCAAGUGCUCAACAAAUACCUCCUCUGAGGUAAUGCCAGCCAGAAUGCUUACUUGCAUUUUAAAAGUCACAAAUACUUACUAAAGCAUGCAUCUAAUUCUUUAAACCAUCCGUAAUUCAAAUAUUAACGGUUUUUAGGACCGAAAAUUCUUUUAAAAAAAAAUGAAAUAAUACCCAAAACUAGAUCAAAAUUUCAUGUUUUGAUGAAGAAGAAAGAUAAAUUAGCUCUCCCAGGUCGACUUAAUGCACACCGAUAAUAAGUUCUGAAUCAAUUCUUUUCCACCUGUAUCACAUUGAUGAUGCGCCCCAAAGAGAGAUCCUUCUCUCCAAGCGACGAUGUAUACACCUCAAGUUCAAACUACUCAAUCUUUGAUGAGAUAUUUAAGUGAGAACAAAGAAACUCAAACAAAGUGACUACUUUAGCUGCACAAAAAAGAUCUCAACAAAAGCAACCUGAAAUUCAGCUAUAUAAGCAUAAAUUUCACCAUUUGUAUACGCAAAAAGGAAAAUAUGCUUAAUGAGAUCAAAUAAUUUUCCCAAACUCAAAAAUAAAAAAAUAAAAAAAUAAAAAAAUCCUGAACUACAAAUAAAAAUUGGUCGGCAUACCUGAAUGAUUCCCUUAACACGCCAAACCCCACGGCUAUGGACGACGAUAUGCGAGUCGUCAGGGUGGAGCGCGGCGAGCUCCCUCCUCACCUCCUCGACGGCGACAUUGUGGUCGGUGGAGAGCCUCUCGGCCACGACGGCGCGCCCGUCGCCUCCCCUGCGACCGAGCACCGCCCUGGAAUCGCCCAGAUUGGCGACGUAGAGCGUGUCGUCGGCGAUGGCCCCGACGAGGCAACACGACCCGACCGACGCGAUCUGCGGGCGCGCCAGCCACGACCGCUUCACCAGGUGCAGGAACUCCUCCUCCGUCGCGUCGAACGCCUUCUUGAUCACGUCCGCGGACAAUCCCCCCUGCUCCGACGCGAGCCCUAAUUUUGCGACGCAGAGCAAACACCAAAAUUGUUAGACGAGCGAUCUAGGGCGAUCUAGGGCGAUCUAGGGGAAAGAGGGUUCGGGGUUGAUUACGGUCGAGGUGGGGGAAGAGGCGGCUGCUGACGAAGCGGGAGGCCUCGGGGCCGCCAUGGCCGUCGUAGACGCCGACGUAGGUGGCGGAGGGGGAGGUGAGCACCUGGCCCUGGUCCUCGAGCGCCGCGUUCGCUUGCACCACCGCGAUCGAGAACUCCCCCGACGCGUGCGGCUUCAGCUCCAGGUGCCACAGGAGCCCGUCCCCUCCGCCGAACCCUAACCUCCCGAAGCACCUCUCCAACGGUCGAACGCACGAUCGCAACAUCACCUCCUCCUCCUCCUCCUCGUCGUUCUCCCUCUCUCCUAGUUCUCCUAGGGUUUGGGGGGUGGGGGUUUGUGCUUCUCUUUUCUCUUCUCUUCUCUUCUCUUCUCUUAUUAUCGGGAGCGCAACUGGGAAUGUGGGAGACGACGUGUGGAACUAUUCUUAUUCCGACUUUUUCUUAUGUUUAUGUUAUUUCCGCCAACUUAUUCUCAUUCCCCUUAUCCGAAGACGCGGCGCGCAUCACCGUCGGAUCCAGCACGCUCGCGGGGCGUGCGGACGAGAUUGAGUUUCUAAAAUGCGGACGCGAGGGAUUACGCGUCCGCACCGGGCGGCUUCGGUGCGGAUAAAAGGUUCGGCGUGGAUAGCGCGUCGAGGAAGAGUGCCUUUUGGUCGUCGCCCUUGCGCUUUUCUUUCGGGGACGUGUUGAGGAGAGAGUGAAGUUUUUGACUAUAAAUCACACUUUUAGUCCUUAAUUAAUAUUUUGAUUUAUAGUAAUUUUUGACUCAGACUCAGUCUCCUACGCUUUUAAAAGCACGAAAGCAUCCGUGCUUAUAAAUUAUUUUUAAUAAUAAAAUAUUCAAUUCUGCGAUCAGCUCCUUUAGAUAUGAUUUACGCUAUUAGAAUUAUUUAAAAAUUAAAGUUUAUAGUUUUUUAAUUUUGUUUGUUUACGGAGCAAAUAGCCUCAAAAUGAAUCGCUGAAAAUACAAAUUUUAAUAAAAAAAGAAUAAAAAAAAUUUAAAUUUCAAAUUGAAAGUAGAAUUGUUCACUAAAGUUUUAUAUAAUUUGGAUUCUUCUAUCUCAUUAAACUUAUGAACGUUCCGCAUCAACAAAUAAAAUAAUUGUUUUUGAGAUUUUUUGUUUACUUGAUAAAUAAUAUCAAAAAAUUAUAAAAUUUAGUUUUUAAAUAAUUCUAAUAAAUAAUUUAUAUUUAACAGAAUCGACCGUGAAAUCAGAUGUCCCAUCGUCAAAAAUAACUUACAAACACAGAGGUCUUCGUGCUUUCGAAAGGGCAGAAGACGCACUUCUCGUACUUAGUACUUAUUAAAUUAUUACAAUCAAGUUUUAACUUAUUUUAGUUGAGUAAAUACUAACGCAUUGCUAAUAUAAAAAUUAUAUAACAGUAUUAUAAACGAUGAUAGGAUAAUAAUUAAAAUAUAACAGUACUUUUAUAUCAGUAAUAUAUUAAAACUUUAGUCAAAAUAUAAAGCGUAAAAGUUUGAGGAUUAGGACGUGGCAUGCACAUUCUUAUCUUUGGGGAGAGGUAUUAGGGAGUGGGGAUGGGGGGUGACGUGUACCACAGAAAGGCACAUUCUUAUUUUUGGUUUUUUUUUUGAAAAAAGAGAAGUUAAAAUUUGGGAAAAUGCUUAAAUUGGGGAAAUGGAAGUGGUUUGGGGUGCUUGGAAUUGAUUGAUAGGUGCAUUUGGGAUUUGUGGGAAUGGCAUAUGACAGAGAGACAUGCUUUGAGUACGAGAUUAUCCUGAUAAUAUUGUUUUUCAAAAAAAUAAAUAUAAUAUUUAUUUUCAGAAAUUUACUUGAUUACAUAUAGUCGUUCAAAAUUUAAAAUAAAAAAUAGGUGACAUAAGUUUUCCGGCUAUUUAAUCAACUAUUUAAUCCUAAAAUUUGCUGAUUCUUUUUUUUUGCAAUUACAUAAAAUGUUAAUAUAUAAAUUGAAUACUCUUUAAAUGAUAUAGGCAUUGGCUUUUAUUCGUUUAAAAUUGUUAAAAACUAAUACAAUUCAUGCCUACAUUGUUGACCACAGUGAAACAGUCCUAUCUAGAUAUUAACUAUAAACAAAAAUAUUUGGUGGGUUUUCCUCACCACUCCUACCAAGGGUAUAUUGGUAAAUUACUACCGAGGGUAUAUUUUAUUAUAUAUAAUUGAAAAUAAAUGGGUAAAAUUGUAAAGAAGAAUUGUGUUUGUCAAUAACAUUUUGCCUUCGAAAUUUAAGAUAAUUUUUUUUAGUUUAAAAUUUUUAAAGUGCUAGAAUUUAUAGUUGCUUUGUUUAUUUUUACAUAUUUAAUUACUAAAUUUCAUGCAAUUAGCUUAAAAUUUUUAAAAUUAAAGUAUAGUUGACUAAAUCAAAUCUAACUUAUUGAAAGUUUGGAUAGUCAAAUUAGAAUAUGACAGGUUGAAUAGUUAAUUUAAAAUAGUUGAUAAUUUAGACAAAAUCUGUUUGCUUUUAUUAAAUAAAUAAGCAAAAAAAAUAAAUAAAUAAAUAAUUUGUUUUACAAUUAAAGUGUAGUUCACUUGAUCAAAUCUAACAUAUUGAAAGGUUGGAUAGUAAAAUUAGAAUAUGACCGAUUGCUUUUGUUAAAUAAAUAAGCAAAAAAAAUUAUAAAUUUAUUAAAUAAUUUGUUUUAAAAUUAAAGUGUAGUUUACUGAAUCAAAUCUAACGUAUUGAAAGGUUGGAUAGUAAAAUUAGUUUAAAAUUUUAAAAGUGCUAGAAUUUAUAGUUGCGUCGUUUAUUUUUACAUAUUUAAUUACUACAUUUCAUGCAAUUAACUUAAAUUUUUUAAAAUUAAAGUGUCGUUGACUGAAUCAGAUCUAACAUAUUGAAAGUUUGAAUAGUAAAAUUAGAAUAUGACCAAUUGAAUAGUUAAUUUAAAAUAGUUUAUCAUUUAGACAAAAUUUGUUUGCUUUUAUUAAAUAAAUAAGGAAAUAAAAAUAAAAAUUUAUUAAAUAAUUUGUUUUAAAAUUAAAAUGUAGUUUACUGAAUCAAAUCUAACAUAUUGAAAGGUUGGAUAGUAAAAUUAGAUUAUGACCGGUUGAAUAGUUAAUUAAAAAUAGCUUAUAAUUUAGACAAAAUCUGUUUGCUUUUAUUAAAUAAAUAAGCAUAAAAAUUAAAAUUUUAUUAAAUAAUUAGGAAUUUCCAACGUGGAAAUUGGAUGUUCCAGAACCAAAAUACAACCUUCCUCAGAUAUAUGCAGUCCAUACAAUCAUGUGUACUCAUCAUUUGGACCCCUUCGUAUGGAUUUAUCCCUCAUCCAAUCAGAUUUCUUCACGUGGCAUUACUCUGAUCUAAUAUCGUAUCAUCGUAGUGUUAUCUAUUUCCGAUUAAAACCCUAAUAUCGGGAUGAGCAUUAUACGGUCUGAUUCGGUCGAAUCAGUUGUUUGAUUUAGUUUUACAUAUAAUUCGAUUUGGCUCGAUUCUAAAAGCUAAAAGAAUCAGUAAAAAAAAUAUAUAAAAUUUAAGCAAUUCACUAUAUAUAUAUAUUAGUCUUAAAUUAAAAUAUUACGUAUUGGUUUAUAAAUAAUAAUCAAAUAAUUACAUAUAUUAAUUAUUAUUAUUUCGGUUUGGUUCAGCUCGGUUUAUGCAUCUAAUUCAAUUUUUAAAAAAUACAAAUUUUGAACUGAGAUGAUCUCUAUUGAACAUACCAUUAUGUACGACAUUAAUUAGGGAAAAUUUAGAUAAAUAAACUAAAAAAUAUGAUUUUUUUGCACUUAUAUCCUCUGAAAAUAUACAUAUAUCUCCAUAUAUUAAACAAUUUAUCAAAAUUAUUUAAAAUAGUUUGCAUUUAAACUUAAGGUUUAUUGAAAUUUUCUGAUUAGAUGCAAAAAAAAAAUAUUAUAAUUAAUUCUAUUAAUGAAGGACUAGAAAAUCGAAAAUGUGAUAUUUUCAUCUUCUAAGCUUUCGACAAACCAAGAGGUUUCUCCGAGAAACAAAGAGUUAACAGAUUCAACGAAGAGAUGCCUCUUAUAAGUAACGAAGAGAUUAAACCAAAAAACGAAAAGGUUGCUACUAAAAAUGAAUAGAUUUAAUAGAUGAGUGUGAAUUCUGAAUUAAUUUAAGACAAUAAUUACACCAAAAAACGAAAAGGUUGCUCCUAAAAACGAAUAGGUUUAAUAGAGGAGUGUGCAUUUUAAAUUAAUGCAAUAAUAGUAAUAAUUAAUAAAUAUUAGUAAAUAUUUAUAAUUAAAUUUUAAAUUUCUCUAUGUUUUUUCUAUAUAUAAAAAGGUAUUGUCGGCAUAAGCAAUGGCAUCAAUUAGGACUUGAAUAUAAAGAGGUAAAAGACUUUUAGAAGGAGAUAUCUAAAGAGAAAAAAAGACUUUUGGAGGUAGUUAUGCUGAAUAUUACGUAGAUUUAAUAAAUAUUAGUAAAUUUUUAUAAUUAAAUUUUAAAUUUCUCUAUGUUUUUUCUAUAUAUAAAAAGGUAUUGUCGGCAUAAGCAAUGGCAUCAAUUAGGACUUGAAUAUAAAGAGAUAAAAGACUUUUAGAAGGAGAUAUCUAAAGAGAAAAAAAGACUUUUGGAGGUAGUUAUGCUGGAUAUUACUUGGAUUUGAUCAAGUUGUUGAUAUUUAUUUAAUCGGUCUUCAUAAACUUACUUACUGAGCGGUUAGUUUUGAAUAUAUAUAUAUUUUUUUAGUUAAUAUGCAUGCUUUGGUAAAAUUGUUUUUUAGUCAGACUUGUUUGUAUAAAAUAAAAUCAUACUUGUAAUAUUUUUUUUUUAUUUGCUUUCAUAUAUUUCGAUGAUUUGAUGAAUUAACUUUAUAGUAAUCUAUUAUCAAUUUCUAAAUUUAUCUCUUUCCUUUUUUUAUGAUUCUACUUUUUAAAUUUUACUAAAAUUACAAAAUUUUCUUCUCUUCGAUGCCUACUAAUUCUUUAAUUUUUUCUCUUUAUGUAGAAAAUGUCAUUAGCAUAUAGUUAUCUUCAACAUUGGGUUGAUGAUGAGGAAGGUAUGCAGCUGCCAACUGAUAUUUUAAUGGAAAUUUUCACUAGAGUUGAUUUGGCUACUCUAUACUCGUCUCGAGCUAUCUCUUUCUACUUCAACAGAGCAACUUACAUCUUUGAAUUUAUGUUGCGUCGUUGUCAAAGGUUGUCUGGAACAUUUGGUUUGUUUGUACAACAAUUUGAUACAAGCUUACCUGUGGAAUUUACCCCGGCACAUAACGCUUUGGUUUUGCCAAAUUUUAAUUUGGGAUUUAUGCCGGAGAUUGUUCAUAUUCUUUCAUCCUCAUUGAAUGGAUGUUUGUUAUGUUCAAAUAAUAAUCUUCAGUAUCCAAGAUUCUAUAUAUGUCGUCCCACUAGCAAAGAAUGGGUUAAGCUACCUAAUCCUAGGACUAGGUACCACUCCAAAGGUUUUGCUUUGAUCGUGCAUGGGUCCUCACCUCACCACUAUAAAAUUCUACGAUUGUCUUGGUCGCAUUUUCCUAGAUCAAAUAUGGUCGGUGAAUUAUUUGAUUCGGUACAAUGGAAUUGGCAAUGGUGUGGUGAAACUUGCCUAGAUGCAACUCAUUCUUUAGGCUUGGAGGGACCGUUUUCGGUUGGCCGUUAUUUGUAUUGGAUGGUAAAUACUUCUAAGAUCUUUGUGUUUGACUUACGGACUUUUAAUUCGCAUUUCAAAGAACUACCAAACCAAGCUCGCUAUUGUCCUAUAUAUCCUUGCAAAAAAGAGUUGGCGAGUCGCGAUGGAGGCCUUGAUUUACUACAUACUUGUCUCGACACAAUGGAUAUUUGGAACCUACCAUCAUAUAACUCAGCUUGGGUUUUUGUUGCUAGAGCGCGUCUCAGUCCCUUAUUGGUAAACUCUAUAUUCUACAGUACCACGAUUUUUCGAACGUAUAAUAAAAUGUUUAUAGUCUCCGCCGAUGGCAUUUUCUUUAUGGACAUACAUCAUCGUGCUGUUGGGAUUUUAAGCUUGAGUGAUAAUCAUCCAAAUGGAACAGAGAUCUAUAUUUACCAUUCUGCAUUUUCUGGAGAGAGAAUUAUUUGGAACGAAAGAACUCCUUCUGGAUACAAUGGCAACUGGAUUGUUCAAAAUAAUCAGAUUCAGUUACAGUAAUAUAAUAGUUGUUUUUUGUACCUUUCUCAAGCAACAUAUAUAAAUGUUGUUUGAUGAUAUUUCUAGCAUUUUGUUUGCUUUUCUAAAUGUUUCAGUUUUUUUUUUCUUUUUUUUUUGUUUUAUAGUACUGAUGUAUAAAACAUUUUCUAUAUUAAUGCAAAUCUUAAGUUUGACCAAUGCAGUUCACAGUCAUAGGGAAUGCAUUUUUUGUGAUGGGGAAUGUGCGACAUAUGGAUUUUGAGGAAAUAUGAUUAUACGGAUGGACAAAAAAUGUCCAAUUCUUACAGUACCGGUAACCUGUACCAAAAGGACUUGAGUUAGUCAAUUAUAAUUGCCUUUUCAAGCUAUAAAAUAUAUUAGAACACAGAUAUAGGAUUUGUGUAUGACUCCUUAUGGUAUCUAUUUAGAUAUGAAUUGCUUACUUCUUAACAUUUUCUCCCUUUACUACUACAUCUCUUUAAAAUCUAUUUUUUCCGUGCUAUUCCCACUAUCUAAUUUACUCUCACAAUUUCAGUAUAUGUAAAUAAAAGGAUAAAUUAAGAUAUAUUAAUUUAUCAUAGUAUACAAUUCAGUGUGAUGCAAAAGAAAGUUUACUAUAAUUUAUUUUUUCUCUUACUAAGAACACAUACUUAUGUCAUUUACAUUUCAUGUGUUUUUUUCAUAUACUUUAUCCAGUUUAAGAAAUAAUAUUGAAUAAAAUAUUUCUGAUUUAUGAAUUACAGUUAGAUAUAUGCAAUUUAUUAUUAAUAUUUGUAUGCUUACUUCUUGCGUUGUGAUCAUUGCGAGCCAUUGUACUUAAUAAGUCCUUACUGUACUUAUUUAAGCAAGUUUAUAAAACAAUUCUUAAUCAGUACAUUUUUUAACUACUUUUUUAGUACUGAUCAUUGCGAACCAUUGUGUUUAAAAUAUAGUUAAAAAAAAUAAGUACUCUCGUUUUUGAAUUAUAGUUACAUAUAUGCAGUUUAUUAUUAAUAUUUGUAUGCUUAGUUCUUGCAUUUUGAACAUUGCAAACCAUUGUACUUGAUAGAAUAACUAAGCAUACAAAUAUUAAUAAUAAACUGCAUAUAUGUAACUAUAAUUCAAAAACGAGAGUACUUAUCUUUUUAUAAUCGAAAAUUUUCAAAUACCACUAUUGUAUUUUCACAUUUUCUCAUUUUAGUAGCACAAAUUUAGUGCCGUGUGGUUUUAUUUUAAUCUUUUGGUGGGUUUUCCUCACCACUCCUACCAAGGGUAUAUUGGUAAAUUACUACCAAGGGUAUAUUUUGUUAUUUAAAAAUAAUAAAAUAGUUGAGANAACACAUACUUAUGUCAUUUACAUUUCAUGUGUUUUUUUCAUAUACUUUAUCCAGUUUAAGAAAUAAUAUUGAAUAAAAUAUUUCUGAUUUAUGAAUUACAGUUAGAUAUAUGCAAUUUAUUAUUAAUAUUUUGUAUGCUUACUUCUUGCGUUGUGAUCAUUGCGAGCCAUUGUACUUAAUAAGUCUUUACUGUACUUAUUUAAGAAAGUUUAUAAAAUAAUUCUUAAUCAGUACAUUUUUUAACUACUUUUUUAGUACUGAUCAUUGCGAACCAUUGUGUUUAAAAUAUAGUUAAAAAAAAAUAUAGUUAAAAAAAAUAAGUACUCUCAUUUUUGAAUUAUAGUUAUAUAUAUGCAGUUUAUUAUUAAUAUUUGUAUGCUUAGUUCUUGCAUUUUGAACAUUGCAAACCAUUGUACUUGAUAGAAUAAGUACUGUGAUAGACUUUCUUUUUAUAAUCGAAAAUUUUCAAAUACCACUAUUGUAUUUUCACAUUUUCUCAUUUUAGUAGCACAAAUUUAGUGCCGUGUGGUUUUAUUUUAAUCUUUUUGAUAUCAAAUCCACUAAAUUUUUUCGUUAAAUCAGUGACAAAGUUAAAACUAUAACAACAAAAAAUUGGUGGGUUUUCCUCACCACUCCUACCAAGGGUAUAUUGGUAAAUUACUACCAAGGGUAUAUUUUGUUAUUUAAAAAUAAUAAAAUAGUUGAGAACGUAGGCAAUAGUUUUUCCUUUGAAAAUAAAUGGGUAAAAUUGUAAAGAAGAUUUGUGUUUGUCAAUAACAUUGUGCCUUCGAAAUUUAAGAUAAUUUUUUUAGUUCAAAAUUUUUAAAGUGCUAGAAUUUAUAGUUGCGUUGUUUAUUUUUACAUAUUUAAUUACUAAAUUUCGUGCAAUUAGCUUAAAUUUUUUAAAAUUAAAGUGUAGUUGACUAAAUCAAAUCUAACUUAUUGAAAGUUUGGAUACUCAAAUUAGAAUAUGACUGGUUGAAUAGUUAAUUUAAAAUAGUUGAUAAUUUAGAGAAAAUCUGUUUGCUUUUAAUAAAUAAAUAAUCAAAAAAAUAAAAAAAUAUUAAAUAAUUUGUUUUAAAAUUAAAGUGUAGUUCGCUGAAUCAAAUCUUACAUAUUGAAAGGUUGGAUGUCUAAUUUUAUAAUUUAUACAAAAUCUGUUUCUGAAAGGUUAGAUAGUAAAAUUAGAAUAUGACCGAUUGCUUUUGUUAAAUAAAUAAGCGAAAAAAAUAAAAAAAAAUAGUAAAUAAUUUGUUCUACUAAUAAUACUUGUACUUGCUCUGCUAUUCUGCCCAAGCCUGGCUGAGGAAGAGUUACGGGGAGUAAAACACAAAUAUGCUGAUUCCGGCCUUGGUUACUAUAUGUAAUGCUCGAAUUAUUCACGAUAAAUAAAAAGAAAAAGUAAGACCAUUCCAUUUCGACAAAAGAUCAUACCCAAGUUCAAUAGCUUUGCGUCCGCUAUCCCGAUCAUGAUUUUCCUACCCCCAGAGGUAAAGUAAGGGGCCUUCCCUUUUGGGAAGGCUGUUGGCGAGGAGGGAUUCGAACCCCCGACACCGUGGUUCGUAGCCACGUGCUCUAAUCCUCUGAGCUACAGGCCCCACCCCGUCUCCACUGGAUCUGUUCCCGGGAGUACCCUCAAAAAGGAACCUUUCCUCUCCUCAGCCAUUUCGGGUUAAGAAGAUGUGAAAGCGCCUUUCUCUCUAUAAGAACAGUGCGUUUCGAGGUGUGAAGUGGGAGAGAAGAGAUGUCAUAAUUGAGGUUUUGAAUAAGACGACCUUUGCAUUUUGGAUUUUGAUCUUUUUCGUAUUGAAAAAUAUUUUCAAAGUCAAAUAAGAGGUGUUAAGCUUUUUAUCAUUCUGGCGUCGAGCUAUUUUUCCGCAGGACCUCCCCUACAGUAUCGUCACCGCAGUUCAAAUCUAACAUAUUGAAAGGUUGGAUAGUAAAAUUAGUUUAAAAUUUUAAAAGUGCUAGAAUUUAUAGUUGCGUCGUUUAUUUUUACAUAUUUAAUUACUACAUUUCAUGCAAUUAACUUAAAUUUUUUAAAAUUAAAGUGUGGUUGACUGAAUCAAAUCUAAUAUAUUGAAAGUUUGAAUAGUAAAAUUAGAAUAUGACCAAUUGAAUAGUUAAUUAAAAAUAGUUUAUCAUUUAGACUAAAUUUGUUUGCUUUUAUUAAAUAAAUAAGGAAAUAAAAAUAAAAGUUUAUUAAAUAAUUUGUUUUAAAAUUAAAAUGUAGUUCACUGAAUCAAAUCUAACAUAUUGAAAGGUUGGAUAGUAAAAUUAGAUUAUGACCGGUUGAAUAGUUAAUUAAAAAUAGCUUAUAAUUUAGACAAAAUCUGUUUGCUUUUAUUAAAUAAAUAUGCAUAAAAAUUAAAAUUUUAUUAAAUAAUUAGGAAUUUCCAACGUGGAAAUUGGAUGUUCCAUAACCAAAAUACAACCUUCCUCAGAUAUAUGCAUUCCAUACAAUCAUGUGUACUCAUCAUUUGGACCCCUUCAUAUGGAUUUAUCCCUCAUCCAAUCAGAUUCCUUCACGUGGCAUUACUCUGAUCUAAUAUCGUAUCAUCGUAGUGUUAUCUAUUUCCGAUUAAAACCGUAAUAUCGGGAUGCGCAUUAUACGGUCUGAUUCGGUCGAAUCAGUUGUUUGAUUUAGUUUUAUAUAUAAUUCGAUUUGGAUCGAUUCUAAAAACUAAAAGAAAAAAAAAUAAAAUAAAAUUUUAGCAAUUCAAUAUAUAUAUAUAUAUAAUUAUAUAUAUAUAAAUUAAAAUCAAAUUAUAGCAUUUAAGUGAUAGUUAAGAGAAUUAAGCAUAUUAGAACUAGAAUAGUCAUAGAAUGAAUGAGUAACUAGAAAGCGAUAUAUAUUAGUCUUAAAUUAAAAUAUUACGUAUUGGUUUAUAAUAAUAAAUUAAUUCGAUAUAUUAAUUAUUAUUAUUUCGGUUUGGUUCAGCUCGGUUUAUGCCUCUAACUCGGCUCGUCUUCGUUUUUUAAAAAAUUACAAAAUUGAACUGAGAUGAUUUCUAUUGAACAUACUAUUAUGUAGGACCUUAAUUAGGGAAAAUUAAGAUAAAUAAACUAAUAAAAUUGAAUUUUUUUGCACUUAUAUUCUCUGAAAAUAUACAUAUAUCUUCAUAUAUUAAACAAUUUAUCAAAAUUAUUUAAAAUAUUUGCAUUUAAUUAAAGCCCUAAUAUGGGGAUGAGCAUUGUACGGUCUGAUUCGAUCGAAAUCAGUUCUUUUAUUUAGUUUUAUAUAUAAUUCGAUUUGGUUCAAUUCUAAAAAUUAAAAAAACAGUAAAACAAAUAUAAUUGAACAAACUAAAAUUUUAACAAUUCAAUAUAUAUUAGUAAAAGUAAAAAAAAAACAGUAAAAUAAAUUAUAAUGGAACAAACUAAAAUUUUAGCAAUUCAGUAUAUAUUAGUCUUAAAUUAAAAUAUAUUACGUAUUGGUUUAUAAAUAAUAAUCAAAUAAUUAGAUAUAUUAAUUAUUAUUGGUUCAGUUUGGUUCAGAUCGGUUUAUGCCUCUAAUUCUGUUUUUAAAAAAUUUCAAAAUUUUAACUGAGAUGAUCUCUAUUGAACAUACCAUUAUGUACGACAUUAAUUAGGGAAAAUUUAGAUAAAUAAACUAAAAAUUAUGAUUUUUUUGCACUUAUAUUCUCUGAAAAUAUACAUAUAUCUCCAUAUAUUAAACAAUUUAUCAAAAUUAUUUAAAAUAGUUUGCAUUUAAACUUAAGGUUUAUUGAAAUUUUCUGAUUAGAUGCAAAAAAAAAAAAAUUAUAAUUAAUUCUAUUAAUGAAGGACUAGAAAAUCGAAAAUGUGAUAUUUUAUAUUUGCUAUUUAAAAUUUUAAAUUUUCAUAAUUAAUCAUUUCAAUUUUAUCAAUUUAAAGUGACUAGCAUUAGUCAUAUGGCCAGAAAAUAAUAAAAGAUUAGCAUGCCGGUGAUACAGAUAAAUCUUUUUAGGGGCAAUUGCUUAUAUUUUAGGGUUUAGGGUUUAGGGUUUGGAGGAGAUGCAUAUUCUCAAACAAACGAAGAGGUUUCUCCAAGAAACAAAGAGCUAACAAAUUCGACGAAGAGAUACCUCUUCUAAGAAACAAAAAGAUUAACCCAAAAAACGAAAAGGUUGCUCCUAAAAACGAAUAGAUUUAAUAGAUGAGUGUGAAUUUUGGAUUGAUUUAAUACAAUAAUUACACCAAAAAACGUAAAGGUUGCUCCUAAAAACGAAUAGGUUUAAUAGAGGAGUGUGCAUUUUGAAUUAAUGCAAUAUAGUAAUAAAUAUUAAAUAUUAGUAAAUAUUUAUAAUUAAAUUUUUAAUUUCUUAUUAUUGUUUCAGAUUGGUUCAGAUCGGUUUAUGCCUCUAAUUCAAUUUUUAAAAAAUUACAAAUUUUGAACUGAGAUGAUCUCUAUUGAACAUACCAUUAUGUACGACAUUAAUUAGGGAAAAUUUAGAUAAAUAAACUAAAAAUUAUGAUUUUUUUGCACUUAUAUCCUCUGAAAAUAUACAUAUAUCUCCAUAUAUUAAACAAAUUAGCAAAAUUAUUUAAAAUAGUUUGCAUUUAAACUUAAUGUUUAUUAAAAUUUUCUGAUUUGAUGCAAUAAAAAAUAUUUUAAUUAAUUCUAUUAAUGAAGGACUAGAAAAUCGAAAAUGUGAUAUUUUAUAUUUGCUAUUUUAAAUUUUAAAUUUUCAUAAUUAAUCAUUUCAAUUUUAUCAAUUUAAAGUGACUAGCAUUAGUCAUAUGGCCAGAAAAUAAUAAAAGAUUAGCAUGCCGGUGAUACAGAUAAAUCUUUUUAGGUGCAAUUGCUUAUAUUUUAGGGUUUAGGGUUUAGGGUUUAGGAUUUAGGGUUUGGAGGAGAUGCAUAUUCUCCAACAAACGAAGAGGUUUCUCCAAGAAACAAAGAGCUAACAAAUUCGACGAAGAGAUACCUCUUCUAAGAAACGAAGAGAUUAAACCAAAAAACGAAAAGGUUGCUCCUAAAAACGAAUAGAUUUAAUAGAUGAGUGUGAAUUUUGGAUUGAUUUAAUACAAUAAUUACACAAAAAAACGGAAAGGUUGCUCCUAAAAACGAAUAGGUUUAAUAGAUGAGUGUGCAUUUUGAAUUAAUGCAAUAAUAGUAAUAAAUAUUAAAUAUUAGUAAAUAUUUAUAAUUAAAUUUUUAAUUUCUCUAUGUUUUUUCUAUAUAUAAGAAGUUAUUGUCGGCAUAAACAAUGGCAUCAAUUAGGACUUGAAUAUAAAGAGAAAAAAGACAUUUAGAAAGAGAUAUCUAAAGAGAAAAAAAGACUUUUGGAGGUAGUUAUGCUGAAUAUUACGUAGAUUUGAUCAAGUUGGUGAUAUUUAUUUAAUCGGUCUUCAUACACUUACUUACUGAGCGGUUAGUUUUGAAAUUUUUUUUUUAUUUUUAAGUUAAUAUGCAUGCUUUGGUAAAAUUGUUUUUUAGUCAGACUUGUUUGUAUAAAUUUAGUGCUCUGUGGUUUUAUUUUAAUCUUUUUGUUAUCAAAUCCACUAAAAUUUUUCGUUAUAUCAGUGACAAAGUUAAAACUUAAGGAUAGUUAAGUAAUUAUUCGACAAAUCUAUGUGGGGUAUCUAAAUUUUUUUUUUAUAUAAUUUAAUAAAAUACUAACGAAAAAACUAAUGAAAAAAAAAGAACACUAACUUCAUAUACUUUAAACAAUUGGGUUCUAAAGUGAGAAAGUGUUAAAUCACAUGAAUAAUAUUUGAAGGUUAUUUUUGUAUAAUUUAUAUAUAUUAUAUAUUAUUAAAAAAUUAUCUUUUUAAUUAUUUAAAAAUUAUGAGCUUUGCUUACCAUGUCUAUGCUAUCACUAUUAACUAGAUUUGAUCAUUUAUUUAUAUUUUUUUCAGGAACCCUUCACAUGAAGUUUGUUAGUGUAGCCUUAUCGAAACUAAUUUAUUUGGAAAAUAUUCCACAUAAAUUAAUUUGAAAAUCAAGUACUAUUUAUUUCUUACCCUUCCGGAAGCUAACAUGUCAGUAACUUUUCUUAAAUUUGGCCAUUCUUUAGUUAGUCUUUUAAUGACAAUAACAUAAAUAUUGACAUUAUUAGUUAAUUAAUUUAUUUGUCGCAUUGCAUUAACUUUAUGAGAAUCUCUCUUCGUUUUGUAUAUAUUACGCAAUGUAUGCAGUUAAAUAGUUAUUAAAGGUUUAUUUUUGUUCUUUUAUUUGUAGGUAUGGAUAAACAAAAAGAAAAAACAACAAAAGAAAAAAAAAAUCAAGCUAAACGAGAACGCUAUGCAGGCAUGCCACAUGAGAAAAAGAUGGAAUUUCUAGCUAAAAGGCGUGAGGCAUAUCAUCGCAAGAAAUAUGAACGCUCAGUUCAGUCAAAUCAUCCCACUUCUGAUAAUAAUCCUACAACUCAUAUGAGCUUAGCAAAUAGUAGUGCAAGUAAGUCCAUACACUCUUUCUUAAAUUUUUUUGUUUUUUCAAUAUACUCAGAGUAUAGUUUUUUUUAAAAUUAUAUUUAUUGUUAUCUAAACACACAAAUUUUGUUGACGCAUAUAGGUUGUGAAAAUACAGUAACCGAUGUCAUUGAAUCUGUAAUCGGCAUUAAAGAUGGUGAGACAACUAAACAUUUUAAUUCUUCUGGAUAUGAAAAAGGUAAUAUAGAUUAUGAUUUAGUCUACUUAGCCAUAAUUAUUACAAGGGAUAAUUGUCUAUAUGUACCCCUCAUACGUUUUAAAAUAUCCGAUUUAUCUCUACUCUUUUUUUUUUUUUUUCUGAAAUACCCCUUAUAUGUUCCGCCAUUAUUAUAAAAUACCCCCGCAGUUAUCUCCUGUUAGGUUAACUUGGAUGAAACGUUAGUUAAAUAUGUACCACAGUUAAAAAAAAUUGAAUUGAUAAUUUUGCCCUUAACUUAAGGGUAAAUAAGAAAUAUUGGUGAUGAUAGAGGGGUAUAUUGGAAAAGAUCAAAAGUCAAAAUAUUUUUUUUGCCCCUGACUUUACGGGCAAAUAAAAAAAUCAAUGAUGGUGGAAGGGUAUAUUUGAUAGGGCAAAAAAUGUAAUUUUACAGAGAUAACAAAUUUUAUUAACAAAUUUUAACUUUAGGUGUAUAUUAGAAAUAUGUUUGAACGUAGAAAGGGUAUUUUUAAUAUUAGCCUUCUGAGAGGGGUAAAACGAAAAGUCAGAAACUUUUUAGGGAUAUAUAAGCAAUUGUCCCUUAUUAGAAUUUUUUUUUUCGUUUGUAGUUAAUAAUUAAUUGUAGUUGCUUUUACUGUGUCUAAUUUUUUUUGCUUUGGAAUGCGAUGACAAAUGAAUGAUUACUGCAGAACAAAUUCAUACCUCCGCUGAACAUAGUAACUUGGAUGAACAAUCAAAGAUAGCAGCGAAGCAAAAAGGUUUAGCUUUUAAUCCUGGUACGUUAUUUGUACAUAUGGUAUUCUCUUUGUUAAAUCUAUUUUAAACUAUAAUUAACUAUUUGGUCGUUAAAUAUUUUUAGGAAAAUCCGAUACUGUUUUUUUAGUACUAAUUAUUUAUCUAUGCAUUUUUAUGAAAAUUAUGCCUACUGAUUUCAUUCAGCAAGCAGGCGCAAAAAGAAUAGAGAUCUUAAAAGAAAACAAUAUGCAAAUAUGUCGGAUGAACAAAAACAUCAAAUGCUGUUGAAAAAGCGAUUAGCCCACCGACAAAAAAAACUGAAAUUGUUGAACAUCGAUACCGAAUUAUGCACAGGGGAAAGUAGACAAGAUAUCAAUGAACAUGGUAAAUUAUGUAAAUUUUAUAAGAAUUUAAUUUAAAAUGAAUUCUUUUAUAGGGUUAACAAAACUAAAUUGUCUAAUUAGGUAGCACUUCGGAAGACCUUUGUAGUAGCGACAAGUAUUUUAUUGAUAGAUCGUCUCGUAGAAGAAGACAAAUGUUGCUUACUAUUUAUGAGGAAUGUGUCAUCAAAGAUGAUGGUGAAUGCAAACAUUGCAAAGCAAAACGAUUACAGUUUGAACCACCAACAUUUUGUUGUUACAAUGGAGAAGUGGUUUUGCAUAUUACCCCGAUGCCCCAAGUACUAUUGGAUUUAUAUACUUCGGACUCAAAAGAAUCAAUUGAGUUUCGUGAUUGCAUUCGUGCAUACAAUAGUAUCUUCUCUUUUUCGUCUAUGGGUGCUAAAUUAGAUAAGAAAGUUGCAAAUAUGAAGCAAGGCAUAUAUACGUUUAAAGUGCAAGGGCAAGUUCAUCACUAUGUGUCAAGCUUGUACCCGAGUGAUCAUCACGCUAAAUUUCUUCAGCUAUACUUUUAUGACACGGAGCAUGAAGUAGAAAAUCGAAUGCGCCAUAUGCCGGAUUUGAAUAAGAAUGUCAUUGAGGAAUUGAUAGCAAUCCUUAGUAUUAAUCCGUACUCUAUGUUCUUACGGAGAUUACAAAGCAUGCCAUCAUUAAAAGAUUAUACUAUUUCUAUACGAAAAGAUGGUGGAUUAGAUCAACGUAUAUACAAUGCUCCUUCGGCUUCUCAAGUUGCAGCUGUAUGGAUUGAAGGCAACGAUCUUGAAGGAAGAUACACGAGAGAUAUCAUAGUUCACGGGCAUUCAAAUAAGUCUUACAAAGUGGAGCCUUACUUCGGUUGUUAUGAUCCACUGCAAUAUCCUUUGUUAUUUCCAUUAGGCCAAUCUGGAUGGCAUAAAAAUAUAUCAAGAAAUAUAAGAAAAAGAAAAUCUCAAUGUAUUGAUUCAGUCUUAGCCGUCAACAUAACAAACAGUUAUCAAGAUUUUGAAGAAAUCUUACAAAGAGAGAAAGGUAAUAAAUAAAAUAUCAUAAAUCCUUUAUGUAUUUAACGAUGUCAAUGGGUAUGGAUAACCGAAAUUUUACCGAACUGGAAUCUGAAAGGAACAAAAUUAUACGAUACUAAAUGGAUAUGGUUUCGAAUAUGGAUAUCAAAAACAGAUAGACAUGGAUACGGAUAUGGAUUUUGACUGUGCCCGACCAGAAACUGAACCCAACAUGAACCAAAACUUAUUUUACAUUCUGAUAAUAUGUAUAUGAAAAAUUGAUGUUAUAUUUGAAUUAAUAUAAUAUAUUUUGAAAUAUUGAAAAGAGAAAAAAAAAAGAUUUAAUAUAAUAUAUUUUGAAAUAUUUAAAAGAGAAAUAAUUGUUUCAGUUUAGAAUUUUCUUGUUCGGGUUCGGGUUCGGGUUAAGGGUUAGCAGUCAUGUUCUUACUUAGGUUUUUAAAAAUCUACACCAAAUUCAACCCGUUGACAUCCCGAUAUAUAUUACUAACUAAUACAUUUCAUUUUACAUAUUAGUUUACGUUUUUUUGGUCUUUGGUUUUUAGUUCAUGCUGGUCAAAAAGAGAAAGGUGUAUCUUGUAGAGAAUAUUAUUGCUACAUAUUGCAAAUACGUGAAGAACCAAAGACCUCGAUUCUUUAUGGAGGCCGAUUGUUACAACAGUUUGUGGUUGAUAUGUAUAUAAAGAUAGAGACGACACGCUUAGACUACUUCUAUGCAAAUCAAGACAAAAUUCGUGCUGAAUUAUAUCAGGGAAUUGUUGAUAGUGUAAAUGCCGGUGAAACAAGAGGUGACAAGAUUGGAAAAAGAAUAGUAUUGCCUGCUUCUUUUAUUGGAGGUCCUCGUGAUAUGAGACAACGUUAUUUAAAUGCGAUGGCCUUAGUACAUCGAUUUGGAAAACCAGAUAUAUUCCUCACAAUAACAUGAAAUCCAGAAUGGGAAGAGAUCGCUAAAUUAUUACAACCCUGGGAAAAGGCAUUUAAUAGACCAGAUAUAACAACACGUGUUUUUCGGGCGAAACUUGAAGAUCUUAAGAGAAAACUUUUUAAGGAACAAAUAUUUGGAAGAGUCGUUGCUCAUGUACACGUAAUCGAAUUUCAAAAGAGAGGACUGCCACAUGCUCACUUUCUUAUUAUUUUGCAUGAAGAAGAUAAAAUUAUAAGUCCAGAUGACUAUGAUCAUAUAGUAUGUGCUGAAAUCCCGGAUCCUAAUGAAGAUCCGAUACUUUAUGAGCGAGUGGUAAAACAUAUGAUGCAUGGACCAUGUGGAGAUUUACGGAAGUCGUCUCCGUGUAUGUUGGAAAAUAAAUGCAAGUUUCACUAUCCAAAACAUUUCUCGAAAAUUUCAGCACAAGGUAAAAAUUCAUAUCCAAUGUACCGGAGAAGAAAUAAUGGAAGACAAGUACAGGUUCGAAAUAGUUUUUUAGAUAAUAGAUGGGUUGUACCGUACAAUCCAUAUUUACUAAAAAGAUACAAUUGUCACAUAAAUAUGGAAAUAUGUUCGCAUAUAUCUGCAGUGAAAUACUUAUAUAAAUAUAUAUAUAAAGGUCAUGAUCGUGUUUCUGUUCUUAUACAUUGUGAGGAUAAUGGCAAAAAAGUUGACGAGAUAAAGCAGUUUCAAGAAGCAAGGUGGAUUUCACCACCUGAAGCUAUGUGGAGAAUUUAUGAAUUUAAUUUAAAUGAGAUUUAUCCAUCUGUGGUAUCUUUGCAGCUGCAUUUGCCAAAUAGGCAAUUGGUUACUUAUUGGAAAAAUAAAAGUUUGAGACAUCUUCUUCAGGAUGACCAAGUGAAGAAAACUAUGUUGACAGAGUUUUUUAUAAUGAAUUUACAUAGUUGUGAAAGUCGGAGGCUUCUCUAUAGAGAAUUUCCUGAGCACUUUGUUUGGAAUAAAGAUGCUCUUUCAUGGAGUCCACGAAAAAAAAAGAGAGCAAUAGGUAGAGUAAGUGCUGCUAACCCAUCCGAAGGUGAGAGAUACUACUUGAGAAUCCUUCUAAAUCAUGUUAGAGGUCCAACCUCAUUUGAUUAUUUAUUAACUGUGAAUAAUAUUCGAUAUUUAAGUUUUAGAGAAGCUGCUGAAAAACUAGGAAUCUUAGAAUGUGAUAAUGCAAUUUUUUGUUUAGAGGAAGCGGCGAUAUAUCAAAUGCCAUUUGCUCUUCGUAGACUUUUUGCAACUAUUCUAGCAUAUUGUGAACCGACUGACAUUAAUGGAUUGUGGAAAAAAUUCUUGCCUCAUAUGUCUGAAGAUUACAUUCAUUGCAAUUCUUUGUCUUCGGAACAACGAUUAUUAAAGAUAUUAGAAGAAAUAAAUAAUUUUCUAGAGAGCAUGGGCCGAACUAUUUCAGAAUUUGAUUUGCCUAAGUUUCCAAUCGAGGAGAAUAUGAGUGGUAGACAACCGAGAGAAUUACUCGAUGAGAUGUCAAUUAUAACACCGGAUAUGGAUAUUCAAGCAUAUCAAAUGCUAAACCAUUGUCAGAAAAAUGCUUUUGAUAUAAUAAUUGAUAGGGUAAAUGGUCAAAGAGGUGGUUUGUUUUUUGUAGAUGGUCCAGGAGGAACAGGUAAGACAUUUCUAUAUUGUGCAUUGUUGGCUUAUGUUAGAUCAAGAGGAUCCAUUGCUCUUGCAACAGCAACAUGUGGUGUUGCAGCGUCUAUCCUUCCUGGUGGCCGCACGUGUCAUUCAAGAUUUAAAAUACCACUUGAUGUUAAUGACUCAAGCAUGUGCAAUAUUAAAAAGCAAAGUGGAUUAGCUCAACUAAUACGUGUAGCUAAAUUGAUCAUUUGGGAUGAAACUCCGAUGUCAAAGAAAUUAGCAAUUGAAGCUCUGGAUCGCUCUCUUCAAGAUGUAAUGGAUUGUGAUUUACCAUUUGGUGGUAAAGUGAUCGUUUUUGGUGGAGAUUUUAGACAAGUUCUUCCUGUAGUUCGUAAAGGUUCACGUGCAGAAAUUGUCAACAAUUGUUUAGUAAAAUCAUAUUUAUGGCCAUUGAUGGAGAGAUUACAGUUGGAAGAAAAUAUGCGAGCGAAGAAUGAUCCUGACUAUUGUGAUUUCUUACUUCGUGUUGGUGAUGGCAUAGAGCAUUAUGUCUUUGAUGACAUGAUUGAAAUUCCAAAUGAAAUGCUCAUUCCUUUUGAUAAUAUAGAAAGCUCAAAACAAAUGUUAAUUACACAGUGUUUCCGUCACUUCAUGAAAAGAGUCAUUGUCCAAAAUAUAUAUCAGAAAGAGCAAUUUUAGCCACCAAGAAUGAAUAUGUAGAUGAUCUAAAUGAGACUAUUAUCAACGGAUUUCCAGGUGAAGAAGUGACAUAUUAUAGUUUUGAUGCUCCGACUGAUGAAAAAAAAUCAAUUUACCAGCCAGAAUUUUUAAAUAAUUUGACUCCAAAUGGUUUACCUCCGCACAAAUUGAUUUUGAAAGUGAAUUGCCCUGUAAUUCUAUUAAGAAAUUUAGAUCCGACAAAUGGUUUGUGCAACGGAACAAGAUUAAUAUGCAAAGAUUUUCAACGGAAUGUUAUACGUGCAACUAUAGCAGUUGGUCAACAUUCAGGAAAAGAGGUUUUGCUGCCGCGAAUUCCCUUAUGCCCAGCUGAAAAUGAAGGUUACCCUUUUUCCUUUAAGAGAAAACAAUUUCCUAUUAGGUUGGCAUUUGCUAUGACAAUAAAUAAAGCUCAAGGACAAACAAUACCAUAUGUGGGAAUUUUUUUACCAGAGAAUGUCUUUUCUCAUGGACAACUUUAUGUUGCAUUGUCCAGAGGGGUUUGUAAGUUAACUACUAAAUUGUUGAUCUAUCCAACAACUGGUGAUGAUAGGAAUCAGUAUACAAAAAAUGUUGUUUAUACUGAAAUUUAUGACGCAUUCCGUACUAAGUGACAGAAUUCCUCAUUUUCGAAAGUAAGUAUUUCUAUGUUUAUAUGAUUAUUUUAAAUUAUAUACUAUGCGAUAUACAUGCUAAAUUCUUAUUCUUGAUUAGGGUUUAUAUCUACAGAAACGGAGCCUAAUGGCGAAUUUCACUUGGUUUCUUCGUUGCAUCCAAAUUCAGAGAAUUGGACGUUGAGGUGCCAAUUAUUGCAUAAUGGAAACGUUCAUUUUUACAACAAUACUAAUGGUUUUGGAUCAGUAAAAAAAAUUAUCCUUAUUGAUGAAGAGGUAUGGUUUAGAACAGUUUUAUUAAAUGAUCAUGUUGUAUAUAAUUAAAAUGAUUACAUUUUUACUAUCCAUUAAAUUAAUAUUCGUUUUCUAUUUUUUAACAGGGAAUGCGGAUUCAGGCAGUUAUGUUUAAUGAAACUAUUAAACAUUUUGAAAAAAUGCUGCAUAAAGGAAAUUUCUAUUAUGUAUCCAAUGCAAUUAUUAAGGAAGCCUCGGAAAAAUAUAAUAGUGGAAGUACAAAAUAUGAGAUCAUCAUUGACAAAAGAAGUAGACUGAUUGAGAACGAUGAUUUUGAAUUUAGAAAUCCUAUGAAGUUCAACUUCGUGUAUCUUAAUGCAUUACAUGCCUAUAUAACUGGAGACAAACUUAUAGGUAUAUAUCAAAAAAUAAAUUAUUACAUCUUUAUAUUCUUCAACCUAAUAUUUUUACUUUUUUCUAGAUGUUAUUGUUGUAGUUAUUGCAAUAGGAGAUCCGAUCACUGCCAUUAAAAAGUCAGAUGGAUCAGAAAUCGUGCGUCGAGAGUUGACAAUAAUUGACCAUUUGUAAGUAACAACAACUUAAUGAAACAAUAAUUUUUACUAUGUUUGUAUUGUUAUUGCAACAGCUGCUACUAGAGCACUAAUACCUUUUAAUGCAUUUCACUUGUAACAGAUCACCAUCUUCUGUCAAACUAAUUUUGUGGGGAAAUUUAACAAUUGUCGAAGGUGACAUUAUCAAGAAGGUGAUUCAAGAUAGGCCUAUUUUAAUUGCAACUUCCCUAAAAGUACAAAACUUCAAAGGUAAAAAAUUUUAUAUAAUCAAAUAUGUGCUUCUGAUAUAAAAUUUUGCAAUCAUAACAUUUAAGUUUUGAAUUUUUUUCGCUAAUCAUCAGGCAUUUCGCUUUCUACGACAUCAAAUACAAUGCUCGAAAUUAAUCCAUCAAUAAAGGAAGCAAAAGAUUUAACAGAAUGGUAAAUAUAAACGCAAUAUAUGAAUAAUUAACAUAUGUAUUAGUUACUAUUUACUUCUUUGAAUGUAUACUGUAGGAUUUCGAAAAGCUUAUUUGACACCGAUGAGAUGAACAAAAUACAAAAUAUGACGAAUGCGGUCAGAAUGAAAAAUGAAAGAGCUACUAUUAAGGAGAUUACUGGAGAUCUUGUUAAUGCAUCUAAACAGGUAUGUUGUUCUUUUUAUUUGUAUACCAAAAAAUUUAAAUUUUGAUGAUAUAUUAUUUCCAGUUAUGGGAGUUAAAAAUAAAAGUGGUGGAGUUAAACAAAAAACAAGAUCCUUGGUACAUUGCUUGUAAGGGAUGCCACAAGAAAAUUACAGAAAUUACUGGUCUUCAACAGUGCAAAUUCUGUCCCAAUUCAGAUACUGAUGUUGAAUAUAGGUAAUAUUAGCGAUAUUAUUUUCUUAUAUGUUAAAGUUAGAUAAAAAUCUAAGUGCUUGUUAAUAUUUUUACAGGUUUAUGUUUCGUUUAAAAGUUGCUGAUGAUACUGGCGAGCUUUGGGUAUCUCUGUUUCAUAAGGAAGUAGGGCAACUGUUGAGUUGCAACGUUAAUGAACUUCGGCAAUUAAAGGUACCACACGUAUUAUAAUAAUACAAAAAAAAAUUUAAUAAAUUUACUUACUAUUUGUCGUUCAAUUUUGCAGGAAUAUAAUAUUGACCAAUUUGUGAGGAAAUUAGAAAGUUGCUUGAAAAAAUCAUACUUACUAACUAUUAAAGUUGCAGAGGCCAAAAGAGGUGACGUAAUUACUUACAACUAUACAGGCAUAUCAAUUGAGAAACUUGAUGGACAAGAAGAUGAAUCAAUCGGAAACAAGAUUUUCCCUCAAAGUCAUAUUCAACAUGAUAUCCUUGAAACUAAUGAAGAAACUGAAUCAACAAUAAGUCAGAAUUUUUCUCCAAAUUAUACUCAGCGAAAAAUUCUUGAAGACGAUGAAGAAGCUUUAGUGAUGAAUAUUACCGAGUCAAAGUUUUCUCGCCUUCGGAAAAGAAAGAUGAUCAUCGAUGACGAAGAAUAAGACAAUGGAAUUAAAAGGAACUUAACUCUUCUUUAUUUACUUCAUUUCGUUUCUGACUAUUGUCAUAUAUUUUGCUAUAUUUUGCUAUAUUAUCUAUUCAUAAUACUUACGUGUAUUUUGUUUAUACGUUGUAAUAUUUGAUACUUUUCUUUAAUUUGAUCCUACUAUUUAAAUAUAUUAUUUAUUCAGAAAUUUAUUAAUAAUUUUAAUUAUAUUAGGAAGAAUAACACGUGCAACGCACGUGCAUUGCCUAGUAUUUUAAAAAAACUCAAAAUAGUUAAAAUAUAUAUAUAUAGAGUCCGGCUACUAUGCUAUUAAUAGCACAAAGCACUCGAUGCUACCAAGUUUUCCGCCGUUAGAUUUAUCCUUGUGAUCAUUUUCACCCGUUAGAUCAUACUAUUCAACCAACCACCCACUCAACCCUAAAGGGCCCACAUCAUCCUAACCGCACAUCUUUUAAUCCAAUGACCAAAAACUUGGUAGCACCAGUGACUUGGUGCUAUUAAUAGCAUAGUGCCUAUAUUUAUAUAUAUAUAUAUAUAAUAAUAAUUAUAUAUAUAUAUAUAUAUAUAUAGUAGGGCUACUGUGUUAUUAGGAGCACAGCAGUCCUUGUGCUCCUAAGUUUUUAACGCCCAUCAAAUUUGAUGGUGGUUAGGGUGAAAGAGAUAAGAAAAUUGAAGAGAAAUUCAAAGAGAAGAGAAAUUGAGAAACCCAAUUCUCUUCAAUUUCUCUUUUCUCUUUUAUCCUAACCACCAUCAAAUUGAUGGCGGUUAAGAACUUAGGAGCAUAAGGGCUGCUAUGUCCUAAUAGGCACAGAUUAGUCCUACUAUAUAUAUAUAUAUAUAUAUAUAUAUAUUUGUCUCUUGUCAAUCUAUUUGCUGUUUCACAUAGUGCAUCAUAACAAUUUUUUGGAAGCAAAAUAAUGCUCAUGCAAUAUUUGUCAUGGACUAAGAUUAAUUUCUAGUCACUUUCAUGGAAGAAGACCUAACCCUAACUUGACAGUUGCAUAUAAUUUGAUACAUAUCAGAGAAACUUAGGUAUCUAAACCUUGUCCAAAUAUAGAGAAACAUAAUGGAGUCCAGCUAUAAAUCCAAAUAUGUAGAUAUAUAUAGGUAGUGAGUGGUUAUUGAUGUGUUUGUUUUUGUGCACAAACCUAAUAUGAUAAGAUCAUAGACACCCAAAUAAUCAAUAUGAGAAUGAACUCAGCCAUAAGCCUCAUGGAAAGAGUUGACACAAAACCAUUUUGUUUCAAGUUAAAAAAAUUUAGAUAUUUUUAAUUUCAUGUAAAAAUAAAUAGUCAAUAGGAUGUCAUGAGUAUUAAUGCAUUUCACCUGAACAAGUCUGAUUUAGACUUUUCACUUAUGUGAAAAAGGAUUACUAUCUUAGAAUAUGGGAAACUUAAUUGACCGUAUCUGAUGCAAUUGGUUAAAAACUUGAUGGUUGGUACUAGAGAUCUCAAGUACGAAACUUAAUUAUUUUACAUUUCUAUCAAAGUUUAUUUCUAAAAAAAAUACUAACUAACUAGCUAGUUCUUAGCAUAACUUGUUAUCUUAUAAAUUAUUUAGUCGAAUAUAAUUAUAAAUGCAAUACCAACCAAUUGGCUAGUUCUUCGCAUAACUUGUUAUCUUAUGAAUUGUUCAAUCGAAUAUAAUUAUAGAUAAAGUAUAGUUGAAUAUGUAUGUACUUAAAAGGUAAUAGCUAUAACUAUAUAUGACUUAUGGAUAUAUGCAGGGGUGGAGCCAUAAAGGGGCCCACAGUAGCCAUGGCCCCUCCAAAUUUUUUAAAAUUACAUAAAAAUUUUUUAUAAUAAAAAUUAAAAUAUUAUAAAUUUUAAAUUUAGGAGGUCAAAUUAUUUUUUUUAAUAAAAUUUAUGUCUCAAAUUUUUUCGAUUUUUUUGGUCAUUUUCCUUCAACUCUUACAAUCUUGUUUUUCUUUUAGCAUAUUAUCGUUAUUGUUGCUAGUAAUAACUGCUCAGUGAAUCUGACAAAUUUUUUUUCUUAUUAUUCGAGAUCAAAUUUUUUUUUCUAUUAAAUUUAAAUUUUGGCCCUUCGGAUCUUAAUUUCUGAUUUUGUCCCUGAAUAUAUGUGUUAGUUAUGGAAUUUAUCACAAACUACGAACAUUUUAUUUCAUUCGCAAGUCACAAGAAUACACCAAGCUCGAAGAAAAUAUGUACAAACUUUCCAAGGGCACCACGAUAAACCUAUGAGUGCAUUAAUUAAUGACUCGGUGAAAUCAACUAAUUCUUUAAUCGCAAUGGUCCCUCCCACUAAUAAAUAGUAAAACGACAUUCUACCGUGUCUACUUUGCAUUUUGUCGAACACGUAAUCAGCAGAGAGUAAGUCAUUAAUGGCGACAACAACUGAUGCCGAGACUAAUACUUUGAAUUGGCUCACAUACUUAUUAUUUGAGACGACUCAAGUCAACGACAGUCAAAACUAGUGGCCCGCUUAUCUUGGACAAAAGUUUUUCUUUUGGGCAUAGUCUUCAACCUAAUUAAUUUGGAGAUUAUGCGAAUCGGCACCACGUGGCCGAUCAGACGGUCAUGGAUGAAAAGAAAAAAAAAGAGCCCUCUAUUUUUAGAGAGAGAAAAAAAGCAUCUGAGAAAUGCACCCGUCGGAUCGGCCACGUGGCGUCGAUCCGUAUAGUCCCCAAACUAUAAAAUUUUUGUCCGCUUAUCUUUUUGGGUAAAAAAAAAACUACAAAGCACCUUAAUGAACUUUUAUAAUUUCACCCAAAAAAAAAUACAAUAAUUUUAUAUACUUCAUAGGACGAUGGUAAAAAAUUGUGGAUCUGAUCCUAUGUGCAAGUUUCAAUUAAUAAUAAUCAGAAUAUGUAACAGUUGACCAUUUCAAUCACUCCAACAGUUGGAUGGUGGGAUUUUUUUUUUUUUUUUGAAAAAUAGAUAGCACGCUAUCCGCUUUAUUUAUUUUAUUUAAAAAUAAAACUUAGCUGGAAAUGUAAAUCAACUAGAAUUCGAAUUUGGGUCUCAGAUAUCAACUACCAAAUCCUUUGCCAUUUGCUCUAGGGACGGUCGCGAGUUGGAUGGUGGGAUUAAUCAAUGUAAUGGUGGCAUUUACACAACAUUCUUAUUCUUUUGUUAUGUUAAAGCUUCUAACCCUAUAAUUUUUUUUUUUCAAAAUCUAAAUCUAAAUUUUUGCAAAUUUGAUAUUUUUAUUUGACAUGUGUACAACGGAAAAAAUAUAUUUUGUAAACUAAACAUGUAAUGGGUUAAUAGUUAUCUCGGACUUGUACGGUAGCGAAGUUUUUUAGCUUAAUUACGUUUAAAACGCUUUAAACUUACGUGCAGGCUAAAGGCAAUAUUGAGCCAAAAUAUUAAAAGAGAGAAGCAUGCACAAAUAUAUUUUAACAAAAUAACAAAAAUUAUAUAUUAUUAAUUAAAAAAUACAAAUAAAAUUUUCUUAUUAUGCUUUUCUUACUACACGAAGUAUAUAUAAUUUUUGUAAUAUCAAGCAGAUUAUGAAUCGGUGAUAAAUCAUAUUUUUGUGCAUAGAAAUGCUCCGACAUCUGCAACUUUGAGAGCAAUUAUAUCCGUACAUCGUAAGAUUAGAGGUGCAUUUACACCUUAUUCAUUCGAAAUUUAUUUUUUUUAGUCUUAUCAAAUUUUUAUUUUUAUUAAAAUCUAUUUAAAUUUCUAUGAAUCUUAAAAUAAAAGAGGUAUAGCAUGCAUUUUUUUUAUAAAAUAACAUAAGAUAAUUAAAGAACCGAGGUGUGGCCACCUUAGCUUGGCAGAGAAGGAGAAGAAGAUUAAACAUUCGAAAUACUUGUGUCUGAUCAUAUGAGGAGCAUUGUAUUGUUUUUUGGGGAAAUUUUAAAUACUCUCACUGUGGUUUCGCACUUUUUUUACUUUAGUAUUUUGUAGUUUAAAGUGUAUUAAUUUGCCCCCGUGGUUUUAUUUUUCUCUUUUUAUUAUCAAUUUUUUUUUUUAAUCAGCGAUAAAGUUAAAAUUAAAGAGUACUAAAAUAAAUAUUUAAUAAAUCUAGAUGGGUAUCCGAAGUUUUUUAUAUAUAAUUUAAUAAAAUAUUAAAAAAAAAGCGAUUGAAAAGAUAAAAAUAAAACCACCGAGGAUAAAUUGAUACAGUUUAAACUCCAGAAAAGUUUUUGAAUUAUUUCCUUGCUUUUUUACAAAGAAAUUAAAAGAACGUGAAAUGUUCCUGACGUGAAUUAUAAAUAGUUACUUCACACGAAAUAAAUGCGCACGAUGCUCUCUGUGUCUCUGAGUGUCAGAGACGCACUUGGCAAAUUGCAAAGCAAAAGUAGCAGGUCCUCUACGUCGUCAACGCUGUUGGUUUUUAUUUAUGAUAAUAACACGUGUCGAUGAUGUGGUUGAUGUAAGUCCUCAUUUUUUUAAUAUAAUAAUAAUAAUAAUAAUAAUAAUAUAUAAGUAGGUUCAUAGGCCCACCAUGUUCGUGGGCCAUGAACAACAAUAAGCCCAAAAUAGCUCAAAUAGAGCUUACUGGGCCUCUAGACCUUUGUAGACCUCCAUAACCUGAUAGUUCAGUCCGAGUCCGACACUUCGGGAACAAAUUAGCCGGCACAAACCGACCGCCCCUAGUGCGGAUGAUUAGGACGGAUGACAAAGAAUUUAAUGAUUAAUAUUUAGAAAUUCAUGUUCGAAAUCUAAUUGGCGGUGAGAAAACUGAAUCAUAGUAACUUCUAUUCCAAGCCAAUUAAAAGAUCAUAGGAGGACGCAUCAUAAUUCAUUAACUUCUCGAGAGAUGCCCAAUCACGUGACCCUGCCUUAUAUUGUUCAUCACUAGUAGUUAGAUGGUCGCAUCAAGUUGUUUAUUUUUCCUGAAACAGCAUUUGGUGAAAAAGUCAAUAAAAAUGCACAAUAGUGACUGCUUUAGCCUUUAUUGCUUAAAAAACAUACAUGAAUUUAGAAACAGUUUGCCAACACCAAAGUCAACGAUGUGAUUUGUAUUUACAAUGCAAGCCUAAAACACAGUAAUAGAGAGACUAUGGGGCAGAAUAGGUUUCAGCCACACAAACUAAACCGUAAAAACACAGAUUAAUACAAGCAAUGCACACGGCAAAGUGGAUCCAUCUCCGUUCACGCAAUAUACGCGAUGAGAGUCGCGAUGAGAGUAAAACCAACGCCGCUAGAUUACUAACAGUUAAAGUACCAACAAAUACACCCUAAUCAGCAAUGUCAAGAAACCCAUCAUGCAAAGUCAAAAUACAAACAUUGCACUUCGUUUGCUCCAGUACACGAGCAUCACUUUUGUUCGGGGUAAGAGGAUGUGUAAAUCCAGUAAGCCGACUCCCGGCGGAGGGCAAAAUUUCAGUCUUAAGAUCACAUAUUACAACAGAGAGAACGAUAGAAAGAAAAGCUAGAGCGCAUACGGCAUUUACAACGGCACUCGAGUAGUAAAAGUGAGGGACAAGACAAAACGAGCACUAGGGUUAAAAGGUUUCAGUAGCUGUACCAUUCAUUCUGUGGCUGGGAGAGCUAUACUUGUCCUACAAUACGGGCAAUCACCGUGAGCCUCUACCCACCGCUCAACGCAAUUAGAGUGAAAAGUAUGCCCGCAACGCAGUUGGGUCAACCUGUCCCCAUCUGAAAAACUCUCGAGGCAUAUACAACAUUCAGCUGCUGCUUCGAUAAGUCCGCUUUCUUUUGUCUCACCGCGAUCUAGAGUUUGGAGCCUUAAAAGAGCUUCGGAACGAAGAAAAGGAGGCUUAUUCCUCAUCCCACAUAAAGGCUGUAUUUGGCGACAAGAUGGCACGGUAGAGAGACAGCCACAGCACUCUAACAGAUCCUGUACACCUAUUGCUUCGCUAUUUACUGAGCGGAUGAGAUUACAUUUA
rnacentral:lncRNA from 1 species